ACACCGGCAGCUCAAGUGGUAGCCGCUUUUAUUGGGCCUAAAGCGUCCGUAGCCGGUCUGAUAAGUCUCUGGUGAAAUCCCACAGCUUAACUGUGGGAAUUGCUGGAGAUACUAUCAUGACUCGAGGUCGGGAGAGGCUGGAGGUACUCCCAGGGUAGGGGUGAAAUCCUGUAAUCCUGGGAGGACCACCUGUGGCGAAGGCGUCCAGCUGGAACGAACCUGACGGUGAGGGACGAAAGCCAGGGGCACGAACCGGAUUAGAUACCCGGGUAGUCCUGGCCGUAAACGAUGUGGACUUGGUGUUGGGAUGGCUUCGAGCUGCCCCAGUGCCGAAGGGAAGCUGUUAAGUCCACCGCCUGGGAAGUACGGCCGCAAGGCUGAAACUUAAAGGAAUUGGCGGGG
rnacentral:rRNA from 1 species